rnacentral:rRNA from 1 species
GACAGAGGUGGCAAGCGUUGUUCGGAAUUACUGGGCUUAAAGGGCGCGUAGGCGGCAGUGUAAGUCUAAUGUGGAAUCUUGGGGCUUAACCCCAAAACUGCAAUGGAAACUGCAUUGCUUGAGUCAGUAAGGGGAGGGCGGAAUUCCCAGUGUAGCAGUGAAAUGCGUAGAUAUUGGGAGGAAGGCCGGUGGCGAAGGCGGCCCUCUGGUGCUUGACUGACGCUGAGGCGCGAAAGCGUGGGUAG